AUACUCUAGAUUCUCUUUAGAUCGAAUAGAGUUUUCACCUUUACUAAAGAUUUCCGUGGAGAGGAAAUGAGUUUUCAAAAAAUAUUUGCCCCUUGCUGGGCUAAAACAUUG